rnacentral:sRNA from 1 species
GGCCAAGAUGGCGGCGUCAUGCUUGGUCCUGCUGGCGGUGUGUCUGCUGCUGCCGCUGCUGCUGCUGGGAGGAUGGAAGCGCUGGCGGCGGGGGCGGGCGGCCCGGCAUGUAGUAGCUGUGGUGCUGGGCGACGUGGGCCGCAGCCCCCGUAUGCAGUACCACGCGCUGUCGUUGGCCAUGCACGGCUUCUCGGUGACCCUCCUGGGGUUCUGCAACUCCAAACCCCAUGAUGAGCUCUUGCAGAACAACAGAAUUCAGAUUGUGGGGUUGACAGAACUUCAGAGUCUUGCAGUUGGGCCCCGAGUUUUCCAGUACGGAGUCAAAGUUGUAUUUCAGGCUAUGUACUUGCUGUGGAAGCUGAUGUGGAGGGAGCCAGGUGCCUAUAUCUUUCUCCAGGUGUGUAUCAGCCUCUGCCUCCCUCUGUGAGAGCCAUGUUAGCAGUUUACUUUCCACACAAAUUGGUACUAUAUUGCAUAUUCAUAUGUGUGUGUGUUGUGUGUAUGGGCGUUUAAAGACAUGAGUAGGAGCCUAUGGUAUGUGUCUAUUUAUGGCACCUAUCCAUGCUCU